UUGCUGCUACUUUACCAAUAUCACAAUCUCUCUCUCUUUCUCGCCAAAAGGGUAAACUUUGCUCUUUCUUCUUGUCUGCCUCUGGCAUUGCUUUUUGCUCCGUCGCGGUUUCUGCCAUUUUUAACAGCUAAAAUAAAGCUUAUAACUUGAUAUAAAGUAUUUAUACGCAAGUGGGUAUAGCUCUUAUAAGUAUUUGCACCAUUGAAGAAGAAG
rnacentral:lncRNA from 1 species